rnacentral:rRNA from 1 species
UUGGAUCUUGCAGCCGUUAAUAUGUCUGGAGACCUAAGCCAAUGGAUCAUGAAACAUUACAAUCCUGAGAUGUCUCAGAUCGUCAUACCAAAAAGAGGGAAGAUCCGAGUAGAUGUUGCAAGCAUCCGGAGGAUAUGGGGUUUGCCAAAAAGAGGGAGAAAGGUGUGCUUUCAAAAUUGA